rnacentral:rRNA from 1 species
GAUUAAGUUAUUAAGGGCGCACGGUGGAUGCCUUGGCACUAGAAGCCGAUGAAGGACGUUACUAACGACGAUAUGCUUUGGGGAGCUGUAAGUAAGCUUUGAUCCAGAGAUUUCCGAAUGGGGAAACCCAGCAUGAGUUAUGUCAUGUUAUCGAUAUGUGAAUACAUAGCAUAUCAGAAGGCACACCCGGAGAACUGAAACAUCUUAGUACCCGGAGGAAGAGAAAGAAAAUUCGAUUCCCUUAGUAGCGGCGAGCGAAACGGGAAGAGCCCAAACCAACAAGCUUGCUUGUUGGGGUUGUAGGACACUCUAUACGGAGUUACAAAGGACGACAUUAGACGAAUCAUCUGGAAAGAUGAAUCAAAGAAGGUAAUAAUCCUGUAGUCGAAAAUGUUGUCUCUCUUGAGUGGAUCCUGAGUACGACGGAGCACGUGAAAUUCCGUCGGAAUCUGGGAGGACCAUCUCCUAAGGCUAAAUACUCUCUAGUGACCGAUAGUGAACCAGUACCGUGAGGGAAAGGUGAAAAGCACCCCGGAAGGGGAGUGAAAUAGAACCUGAAACCGUGUGCUUACAAGUAGUCAGAGCCCGUUAAUGGGUGAUGGCGUGCCUUUUGUAGAAUGAACCGGCGAGUUACGAUUUGAUGCAAGGUUAAGCAGUAAAUGUGGAGCCGUAGCGAAAGCGAGUCUGAAUAGGGCGUUUAGUAUUUGGUCGUAGACCCGAAACCAGGUGAUCUACCCUUGGUCAGGUUGAAGUUCAGGUAACACUGAAUGGAGGACCGAACCGACUUACGUUGAAAAGUGAGCGGAUGAACUGAGGGUAGCGGAGAAAUUCCAAUCGAACCUGGAGAUAGCUGGUUCUCUCCGAAAUAGCUUUAGGGCUAGCCUCAAGUGAUGAUUAUUGGAGGUAGAGCACUGUUUGGACGAGGGGCCCCUCUCGGGUUACCGAAUUCAGACAAACUCCGAAUGCCAAUUAAUUUAACUUGGGAGUCAGAACAUGGGUGAUAAGGUCCGUGUUCGAAAGGGAAACAGCCCAGACCACCAGCUAAGGUCCCAAAAUAUAUGUUAAGUGGAAAAGGAUGUGGCGUUGCCCAGACAACUAGGAUGUUGGCUUAGAAGCAGCCAUCAUUUAAAGAGUGCGUAAUAGCUCACUAGUCGAGUGACACUGCGCCGAAAAUGUACCGGGGCUAAACAUAUUACCGAAGCUGUGGAUUGUCCUUUGGACAAUGGUAGGAGAGCGUUCUAAGGGCGUUGAAGCAUGAUCGUAAGGACAUGUGGAGCGCUUAGAAGUGAGAAUGCCGGUGUGAGUAGCGAAAGACGGGUGAGAAUCCCGUCCACCGAUUGACUAAGGUUUCCAGAGGAAGGCUCGUCCGCUCUGGGUUAGUCGGGUCCUAAGCUGAGGCCGACAGGCGUAGGCGAUGGAUAACAGGUUGAUAUUCCUGUACCACCUAUAAUCGUUUUAAUCGAUGGGGGGACGCAGUAGGAUAGGCGAAGCGUGCGAUUGGAUUGCACGUCUAAGCAGUAAGGCUGAGUAUUAGGCAAAUCCGGUACUCGUUAAGGCUGAGCUGUGAUGGGGAGAAAACAUUGUGUCUUCGAGUCGUUGAUUUCACACUGCCGAGAAAAGCCUCUAGAUAGAAAAUAGGUGCCCGUACCGCAAACCGACACAGGUAGUCAAGAUGAGAAUUCUAAGGUGAGCGAGCGAACUCUCGUUAAGGAACUCGGCAAAAUGACCCCGUAACUUCGGGAGAAGGGGUGCUCUUUAGGGUUAACGCCCAGAAGAGCCGCAGUGAAUAGGCCCAAGCGACUGUUUAUCAAAAACACAGGUCUCUGCUAAACCGUAAGGUGAUGUAUAGGGGCUGACGCCUGCCCGGUGCUGGAAGGUUAAGAGGAGUGGUUAGCUUCUGCGAAGCUACGAAUCGAAGCCCCAGUAAACGGCGGCCGUAACUAUAACGGUCCUAAGGUAGCGAAAUUCCUUGUCGGGUAAGUUCCGACCCGCACGAAAGGCGUAACGAUUUGGGCACUGUCUCAACGAGAGACUCGGUGAAAUCAUAGUACCUGUGAAGAUGCAGGUUACCCGCGACAGGACGGAAAGACCCCGUGGAGCUUUACUGUAGCCUGAUAUUGAAAUUCGGCACAGCUUGUACAGGAUAGGUAGGAGCCUUUGAAACGUGAGCGCUAGCUUACGUGGAGGCGCUGGUGGGAUACUACCCUAGCUGUGUUGGCUUUCUAACCCGCACCACUUAUCGUGGUGGGAGACAGUGUCAGGCGGGCAGUUUGACUGGGGCGGUCGCCUCCUAAAAGGUAACGGAGGCGCUCAAAGGUUCCCUCAGAAUGGUUGGAAAUCAUUCAUAGAGUGUAAAGGCAUAAGGGAGCUUGACUGCGAGACCUACAAGUCGAGCAGGGUCGAAAGACGGACUUAGUGAUCCGGUGGUUCCGCAUGGAAGGGCCAUCGCUCAACGGAUAAAAGCUACCCCGGGGAUAACAGGCUUAUCUCCCCCAAGAGUUCACAUCGACGGGGAGGUUUGGCACCUCGAUGUCGGCUCAUCGCAUCCUGGGGCUGUAGUCGGUCCCAAGGGUUGGGCUGUUCGCCCAUUAAAGCGGUACGCGAGCUGGGUUCAGAACGUCGUGAGACAGUUCGGUCCCUAUCCGUCGUGGGCGUAGGAAAUUUGAGAGGAGCUGUCCUUAGUACGAGAGGACCGGGAUGGACAUACCUCUGGUGUACCAGUUGUCGUGCCAACGGCAUAGCUGGGUAGCUAUGUAUGGACGGGAUAAGUGCUGAAAGCAUCUAAGCAUGAAGCCCCCCUCAAGAUGAGAUUUCCCAACUUCGGUUAUAAGAUCCCUCAAAGAUGAUGAGGUUAAUAGGUUCGAGGUGGAAGCAUGGUGACAUGUGGAGCUGACGAAUACUAAUCGAUCGAAGACUUAAUCAA